rnacentral:rRNA from 1 species
UGCGUAGGCGGUUUCGAAAGUCCGAUGUGAAAUCCCCGGGCUUAACCUGGGAACUGCGUUGGAAACUACGAGGCUAGAGUGCGGCAGAGGGGGGUGGAAUUCCAGGUGUAGCAGUGAAAUGCGUAGAGAUCUGGAGGAACACCGAUGGCGAAGGCAGCCCCCUGGGCUAGCACUGACGCUGAUACACGAAAGCGUGGGGAGCAAACAGGAUUAGAUACCCUGGUAGUCCACGCCCUAAACGAUGGCAACUAGUUGUUGGAGGAUGAACUCCUUUAGUAACGCAGCUAACGCGUGAAGUUGCCCGCCUGGGGAGUACGGUCGCAAGAUUAAA